AUACGUAGGGGGCGAGCGUUGUCCGGAAUUAUUGGGCGUAAAGGGCGUGUAGGUGGCCAGAUAAGCGUAAUGUGGAAGUCCAUAUUUCGAGUAUGGAAGUGCGCUAUGAACUGUCUGGCUUGAGUGCAGGAGAGGGAAGCGGAAUUCCUGGUGUAGCGGUAAAAUGCGUAGAUAUCAGGAGGAACACCGGUGGCGAAGGCGGCUUUCUGGACUGUAACUGACACUGAGGCGCGAAAGCGUGGGGAUCAAACAGGAUUAGAUACCCUGGUAGUCCACGCUGUAAACGAUGAAUGCUAGGUGUAGGAGGUAUCGACCCCUUCUGUGCCGCAGUUAACGCAAUAAGCAUUCCGCCUGGGGAGUACGGUCGCAAGAUUAAAACUCAAAUGAAUUGACGGGG
rnacentral:rRNA from 1 species